rnacentral:rRNA from 1 species
UACGUAGGGUGCGAGCGUUAAUCGGAAUUACUGGGCGUAAAGCGUGCGCAGGCGGUCUCGUAAGCUGGGUGUGAAAGCCCCGGGCUUAACCUGGGAACGGCAUUCAGGACUGCGAGGCUCGAGUGUGGCAGAGGGAGGUGGGAAUUCCACGUGUAGCAGUGAAAUGCGUAGAGAUGUGGAGGAACACCGAUGGCGAAGGCAGCCUCCUGG